AGCAGCCGCCGCGGUAAUGCGUAGGGUGCAAGCGUUAAUCGGAAUUACUGGGCGUAAAGCGUGCGCAGGCGGUUUGUUAAGACAGAUGUGAAAUCCCCGGGCUCAACCUGGGAACUGCAUUUGUGACUGGCAGGCUAGAGUAUGGCAGAGGGGGGUGGAAUUCCGCGUGUAGCAGUGAAAUGCGUAGAUAUGCGGAGGAACGCCGAUGGCGAAGGCAGCCCCCUGGGCCAAUACUGACGCUCAUGCACGAAAGCGUGGGGAGCAAACAGGAUUAGAUACCCCAGUAGUCCCUGUCUCUUAUAC
rnacentral:rRNA from 1 species